rnacentral:rRNA from 5 species
GGUGGCGACUUUAGAAAAGGUGAAACACCUGAUCCCAUUCCGAACUCAGAAGUUAAGCCCUUUUUCGCCGAUGGUACUACGCACGAGAGUGUGGAAGAGUAGGGCGUCGCCACUU